UACGUAGGGUGCAAGCGUUGUCCGGAAUUAUUGGGCGUAAAGAGCUCGUAGGCGGUUCGUCGCGUCGGCUGUGAAAACCUGAGGCUCAACCUCAGGCCUGCAGUCGAUACGGGCGGACUUGAGUACUGCAGGGGAGACCGGAAUUCCUGGUGUAGCGGUGAAAUGCGCAGAUAUCAGGAGGAACACCGGUGGCGAAGGCGGGUCUCUGGGCAGUAACUGACGCUGAGGAGCGAAAGCGUGGGGAGCGAACAGG
rnacentral:rRNA from 1 species